rnacentral:rRNA from 1 species
GACGGACGCUGGCGGCGUGCCUAAUACAUGCAAGUUGAGCGCUGAAGGUUGGUACUUGUACCAACUGGAUGAGCAGCGAACGGGUGAGUAACGCGUGGGGAAUCUGCCUUUGAGCGGGGGACAACAUUUGGAAACGAAUGCUAAUACCGCAUAAAAACUUUAAACACAAGUUUUAAGUUUGAAAGAUGCAAUUGCAUCACUCAAAGAUGAUCCCGCGUUGUAUUAGCUAGUUGGUGAGGUAAAGGCUCACCAAGGCGAUGAUACAUAGCCGACCUGAGAGGGUGAUCGGCCACAUUGGGACUGAGACACGGCCCAAACUCCUACGGGAGGCAGCAGUAGGGAAUCUUCGGCAAUGGACGAAAGUCUGACCGAGCAACGCCGCGUGAGGGAAGAAGGUUUUCGGAUCGUAAAACUCUGUUGGUAGAGAAGAACGUUGGUGAGAGUGGAAAGCUCAUCAAGUGACGGUAACUACCCAGAAAGGGACGGCUAACUACGUG